rnacentral:lncRNA from 1 species
UUGUCAUUUGUGCUCAUUCACACAUGCUUAUGAGGGUCGCUCCCUACAAGCCGGCACUCCGGAGUUGGCCUUUUGCGACACAGUUCCCGCGUGCUGGAUUGAGACGCCUGUAGGGUCGCGUGGGACAGUCUCAUUCCAGAGUGGGAUGACGAGCUACCACGGGCAGCUAGGUGGCGAGGCGCCUGUAGGGUCGCGUGGGACAGUCUCAUUCCUCGAGGGGGAAUGUUGGAGCUACCACCGGCAGCUAGGCGGCACAAGUUGGACUACACAUGUGUAGGUCCUGGAUGAGAUUGAAUGAUGAACCUUAAUCGAUUAAAUGACAAUCACUACUUGAUAAUAUAUUGUAGUUGGAUUUAGCUGACAUUGGGAUUUGUGGUACCCUUAGUUCCUAUGAUAGUACAUACUAGAUAUGUAUUGAAUUUGGGGACAUAUUGUAUACUUGAUAGUAUUACUUGUUACAUCACAGCUUACUUGGUAGCCAUGAUAGAGCAUACUUGUUAUGUAUCGGCAUAUUGGAUUCAUGACAGAGUAGAUGUACUCCAUGUUCAUAUCAUGUAUACUUGUGGCAUAGUAGUAUAGCAUUUCAUUAUAUGCUUUUACUUCCGCAGUUAUUAUUUCAUUUCCUAUAUCUGCUCAUGACUUGGGCCUAGUGGUGCGUUUUGCUAAGGUCAGUAAUUGCCCACUGGGAACUAUAAAUUAUAGUUCUCACGCCCCCUGUUUUAUGUUUUCUUUCAGAGCCUUCCACUCCGGGAGAGGCUCAGGAUCGCGGGAAAGGAAUCGCCUCGUGCUAGCUAGCGAGGGAUUAUUGGAUAGGUGGUCCACCUCUCUUUUGUUUCUUUUUGGAGAGGUUGAGAGAUUUGUACCAUUUGUAGAGACCACCCAUUUUUGUACUUUUGAGAUGGAUACUGUAUAACGUUAUGCUUUACUUUUAUUGUUUAGUUAUGUUUUAUCUACUAUAGAUUCUAGAUGUAUACUUGCUCUGGUAUCUCUAGAUGUAGUUCAUCUCUUAUCUUAUUCUUUCGCUUUGUUGUAGACGCCUUAUAUGUGUAGGCAUAUGGCGGGUCUCGGCGUGCUACCGGGAGGGCCUCCGCCGGUCCCGGGG